CCUACGGGAGGCAGCAGUGAGGAAUAUUGGUCAAUGGGCGGAAGCCUGAACCAGCCAAGUAGCGUGCAGGAUGACGGCCCUACGGGUUGUAAACUGCUUUUAUACGGGAAUAACGCGCCUUACGUGUAGGUCUUUGCAUGUACCGUAUGAAUAAGGACCGGCUAAUUCCGUGCCAGCAGCCGCGGUAAUACGGAGGGUCCGGGCGUUAUCCGGAUUUAUUGGGUUUAAAGGGGGCGUAGGCGGUCUGUUAAGGGUGCUGUGAAAGGUCCGGGCUCAACCCGGGCCUUGCAGCGCGAACUGGCGGGCUUGAGUGCGCGGAAGGCAGGCGGAAUGCGUGGUGUAGCGGUGAAAUGCUUAGAUAUGACGAAGAACCCCGAUUGCGAAGGCAGCUUGCU
rnacentral:rRNA from 1 species